ACUACCAGCCAGCACUCCUGCCUCAGCCUCCCGUCACCGAUGUGUCCGAGGAGUCACCGGAGUCCCUGACUGCAUCGCUGCAGUCACAGGACGUUUCUGCAGCUGAAGAAGCGUUUAAGUGGCAUUCUGGGUGACAAGAAGGAAUAGGGGCGGCCACGGGGCCUGAGCACGAGCAGCCCGCUCACCAAGUCCGGCGGUGUGCGCUGCGCGGGGCACUGUGGCUCACGUCCCGGGCCGCUCAGUGCUGGGCCGGCCGUGCCGCGGUCAGAAAGGAGGAAGGAGGGGGAGAAAGGCCGCGUCGCGCGGGGCCACGCGCCCCCAGCAGCCGCUCAGUGCCGCGGCCGAACGCGGAGGCCGAGGCAGGAACCCGUCUCCAGGGCACACAGCCCUGGAGAUGGAACCCAGGCUGC